rnacentral:rRNA from 1 species
AUAUUGGUCAAUGGCCGUAAGGCUGAACCAGCCAAGUAGCGUGAGGGAAGACUGCCCUAUGGGUUGUAAACCUCUUUUAUGCGGGGAUAAAGGUGUCCACGUGUGGAUGUCUGCAGGUACCGCAUGAAUAAGGACCGGCUAAUUCCGUGCCAGCAGCCGCGGUAAUACGGAAGGUCCGGGCGUUAUCCGGAUUUAUUGGGUUUAAAGGGAGCGUAGGCCGGUCUUUAAGCGUGCCGUGAAAUUUUGUGGCUCAACCAUGAGAGUGCGGCGCGAACUGGAGACCUUGAGUGCGCGGAAGGCAGGCGGAAUUCGUGGUGUAGCGGUGAAAUGCUUAGAUAUCACGAAGAACCCCGAUUGCGAAGGCAGCCUGCCGCAGCGUUACUGACGCUGAAGCUCGAAAGCGCGGGUAUCGAACAGG